rnacentral:lncRNA from 1 species
AACAUUUUAACAUAUUGCUGUUUUUUUAACUAAAAUGUAUUGGUUUUAUCAUUGUUUUAAACCAAAAAAUUACAAUAUCUUUUUAAGCACAUGGUCCACACAAAAUUUGAGCGACUUAUUCUUAAGUCCACCCCCUAGGGUGAACCUCUAGGUUCACCAACCAAUAAGAUUAUCUUAUUUUAUAUUCGAUAUCUUUUAAAAAAGGAAACAAAAUAUUGUCAAAUUAUAUUAUGUUUUUAAAAUUAAAAGGUAAAAAAAAAAAUAAUUACAAAAAAAAUAUUUUAUGUCGUCAGCAUAACAUUAAACUCUAAGCCCUAAAUUUUAAUCCCUUAAUCCUAAACCCUAAACUCUUGGAUAAACCCUAAACUCUAGGAUAAAUCCUAAACUCUAGGAUAAAUCCUUAACUCUAAAUCAAAAUCACUAUACACUAAAACAUUCAAGCGUUUAGGGUUUAGGGUUUUAGUCGUUUUUUAUUUAGAGUUUAAGAUUUAUCCAAGGGUUUAGGGUUUACCCAAGGGUUUAGGGUUUACCCAAGGGUUUAGAAUUUACCCAAGGGUUUAGGGUUUACCCAGGGGUUUAAGGUUUAAGAUUUAGGGUUUAGGGAUUAGGAUUUAGGGUUUAGUGUUUUGUUGACAACAUUAAAAAUAUAUUUUUUUUAAUUUUUUUUUUCUGUAACCAUUAUCUUUUUUUACUUUUUUUAUUUUAAAAACAUAAUAUAAUUUGAGAAUAUUUUGUUUCCUUUUUUAAAAAAUAUCGAAUUUGAAAUAAUGAAAUCCUAUUGGUUGGUGAACUUAGAGAUUCACCCUAGGGGGUGAACCCAAGAAUGACUCAAUUUGAGCAGGGCCUGUUUUCGACACUAACAUGUCUUGAAUAAUUAUGAGUCUGUCCCACCACCUUCCAUCAUCAGAAAAGAACAUAUAGCUACACAACAUAACCAAGACCACUUUCCCUACCAUUUUGCAUCACAUUCUUCCCGUGAAAUCAUCCUUUCACUGGUUUCUUUAAGAAAUAAAUU